CCUACGGGUGGCAGCAGUAGGGAAUCUUCCACAAUGGGCGAAAGCCUGAUGGAGCAACGCCGCGUGGGUGAAGAUGCUCUUCGGAUCGUAAAACCCUGUUGUUCGAGAGCAAAGUGCGUGAGGGUAACUGUUCACGUUUCGACGUUCUCUAACCAGAAAGCUACGGCUAACUACGUACCAGCAGCCGGGGAAAUACGUAGGUGGCAAGCGGUAUCGGGAUUUAUUGGGCGUAAAGGGGACGAAGGUGUUAUUUUAAGUAUCAUGUAAAAGCCUUCGGCUUAAGCGGUGUAGUGCAUUUGAUACUGGGUGGCUUGAGUGCAGAAGAGGAGAGUGGAA
rnacentral:rRNA from 1 species